rnacentral:rRNA from 1 species
AAGGAAUAUUGGUCAAUGGACGAAAGUCUGAACCAGCCAUGCCGCGUGAAGGAUUAAGGCCCUCUGGGUUGUAAACUUCUUUUAUCUGGGACGAAAAAAGGGUAUUCUUACUCACUUGACGGUACCAGAGGAAUAAGCACCGGCUAACUCCGUGCCAGCAGCCGCGGUAAUACGGAGGGUGCAAGCGUUAUCCGGAUUCACUGGGUUUAAAGGGUGCGUAGGUGGAUAUUUAAGUCAGUGGUGAAAUCUCCGAGCUUAACUCGGAAACUGCCAUUGAUACUAUUUAUCUUGAAUGCCCUGGAGGUAAGCGGAAUAUGUCAUGUAGCGGUGAAAUGCUUAGAUAUGACAUAGAACACCAAUUGCGAAGGCAGCUUACUACGGGGUGAUUGACACUGAGGCACGAAAGCGUGGGGAUCAAAC